AUUGAACGCUGGCGGCAGGCCUAACACAUGCAAGUCGAACGAGUGGCGGGCGGGUGAGUAAUGUCUGGGACACGGCCUGAUGGAGGGGGAUAACUACUGGAACCGGUAGCUAAUACCGCAUACCAUCAGAUGUGGCCAGAUGGGAUUGGCUUGUUGGUGUGGUAACGGCUCCCCAAGGCGACGAUCCCUAGCUGGUCUGAGAGGAUGACCAGGCACACGGGAACGUAGACACGGUCCAGACUCCUACGGGAGGCAGCAGGGGGGAAGAGUGGAAAAUGGGCGCAAGCGUGAUGGAGCCAUGCCGCGUGGAUGAAGAAGGCCUUAGGGGUGUAAAGUACUUUAAGCGGGGAGGCGUUACCCGCAGAAGAAGCACCGGCUAACUCCGUGCCAGCAGCCGCGGUAAUAC
rnacentral:rRNA from 1 species